AGUUUUCUUUUUACUCAACAGAAGUUCUUUAUAUAUUCUAGUUAUAACUCAGAAUAGGAGUGGCAAAUGCCUUCUUCCAGUUUAUGGCUUUCCUUUUCCUUCUUUUUAUAGUAUCUUUGGAUUAACAGAGGAUCUUUUUUUUUUUUUUUUAAUAAAUUUCUUCAUUUUGAGAGAGAGAGAGAAUGAGGUGGGGGGGGGGGCAGAGAGAGAGGGAGAGAGAAUCUCAAGCAGGCCCCGUGCUGUCAGUGCAAAGCCUGACUCAGGGCUUGAACCCACAAACCAUGAGAUCAUGACCUGAGCCAAAACCAAGAGCCAGACGCUCAACCAGCUGAGCCACCCAGGUGCCCCAGAUUAACAGAGGGCCUUAAUUUUAAUGUAGUUAAAUAUUAUCAAUCUUUUUUCUUUAUAGCUGUGUUUUCUAAUUCUUGAGAAAUCCUUAUCUCAGGGUCAAAAAUCUAUUCUCCCAUUUGUAUGGUGUAAGGUAGGGAUCCAUUUUUAUUGAUUUUUUUCAUUUAUGUUUAAACAUGCAUAACCAUCCGUUACUGCAAAAUUACUUUUCUCACCAACCUAUGAUGCCAGCUGUUUUACAAAUCAGGUGUUCCUGGAGGAGCACACCUGUCUCUGCGCCCUCCCUUCUGUACCAUUAGUCAUUUUUGUAUCUCCGCACCUACACUGCACUAUCUUAAUUACUAUAACUUUAUAGAGAUUGGUAUUUGGAAGAACAAGAACCGCUGACGUUAUUUUUAGUUGUGUUUUGGCUAUUUUUAGCUUUGUCUUUCCAUAAAAUUGUUAGUAUCAGAUGUUCUAAUAUAUUUUUUAGGUUAGAUUCACAAUUCUCAAGAAAGCAUAUGGUAAAAUUAACCCAGCCUGCCUUUCUUCUCCCAGUUUCCUCUUGUAGAAGUGACCACAGUCAAUAGUUUUUUUGUGUAUUUUUCUAGAAAUAAUCUUAAGUUGUCAAAGCUUGUGUGUAUAUCACCCCCCUUUUUGUAGUUGGCUAGUUCAUCAGCAGAGUUUAUUUAAAAAGUAAACAGUUUUCAAUGGAAAAAAACUUUAACAGGUCAUGAUUUAUAAAUACCAAAGAGGUAAUAAAUGUUAAAUUUUGUAUAUUUUUAGUCCUAAAUGAAGUAAUUUUGAGUAGUUUCUGAAAUUACAAAAUGUGUUUUAUAAUUUCUACUAAUUUUGGUGGAAAAGCGACCAAUUUAGCUUCCCCAACGUUCCUAGCGGAGUUCUGGAUGGGUUUAUGUCUCUUCGGUGCUUCAGGGAAUCACGUUAGAGGCACAGAUUGUUUUUCAAAACAGGAACAUCUGGGUCAGGCUGAAAUCCCUCUUUCAGCAAUAGCUGUGACAGAAAUAACACAUCUAGGAUAUUCGUAGAGAGUUAUGAAUUAUAUUUGGGAUUUCCUGUCAGCUCCUAUUGUCCUAUUUGUUCUUUCAUUUUCUCCUUCUGUUGAUUUGUUAGUGUUGCCUCUCUCUGUCUUCUGCUCACCCGAGGAAUAGCAACAUACUUACCCGUGUAUCUGCAUCUGAAGCUGGCCAGUAUCUUCUCCGUGGGUCCUGCGUCACAGAGGCCGCAGGUCACUUAGGGCAAUUACCUCUGCCCCCAUCUAGAAAUUCCCUUAGUGUGAGAGUCUGUGGGUGAAGCACAGUUCUUGUUUGUCUGAAAAGCUCUUUAUUUUACCUUGAUUCUUUAAAUACUGUAUGUUUUUUUUUCCAGGUUUAGAAUCUAGGGGUUGCCAGUAAUUUCUUUCAUCCUGUGAAGCUGUCCUUCCACAGUUUCCUGGCCUCUACUGAUACUGUGAAGUCAGCGGUAUCACUCCCUCCUGUGAAGGUAAAGGCAUUGUCCCUUCUCUUGCCGGAUUACAGUGACCGUCCAGACAGUGCUUAGUUAGCAAUAGCGGAUGGUGAGUAUAAUUCUGGUCGUGUCAGUACUUGUGGUUUAUUUCCCAGCAAUUAUGGAUACUGUUUUUUUAAGUAAAAAAUGAAAAAUUUCAUCAAAUGUUUCCUUCAUAUCUGUAGUUGCUAGGACUUGUAUUAUUAGGUUUAUAGUAUCAUCUAUCCUUGCCUGUUUUUGUUUUGUUUUUCACAACAUAAGAAUCCUCUGCGGGGUUGGGGGGGGGGCACCUGGGUGGUUAAGCGUCUCACUCUUGGUUUUGGCUCGUCAUGAUCUCGUGGUUUGUGGUUCGGGCACUGUAUCAGGCUCGGCGGCAUUGGUGCGGAGGCUGCUUGGCAUUCUCUCUCUCCCUUUCUCUGCCCUUCCCCGGCUUGCUCUCUAUCAAAAAAACACUUUAAAAAACAACAACUCAUCUUAGGGAAAUUAGGAAAUUAGAGAAACACCCCACCCCAACCCUGUGCCUGGUAGAGGAGCACUAAGUAACCAUCAAAUGGGUGAACGCUAGCGUUUGUUGAUCUGUUCACAGAAGUGUAGGAUUUUACAUUUGCCAUCUGAACAGUAUUAGAAGCAUCUCUCCAUUGGUACAUCCUCCAAGCUGCUGACAACUAUCUUUGAAAACCCCAACAAUAAGACAUUCACAUUCGGCUUUCCCCAUACUUGAAGGGAGACCAUUUUGCAGAUCUCGUGUCAUACAAGCAGACCUCCUACCACUUGGCUCUCCUACCCAGAAAGUCAAGUCUAAGACCUUCCCCCAGUGGAAGCCAAAACUCUUCAGGGUGCAAGACUGGAGGCCCUCAGUGCAUAUCACCCACCCCUCCUGCAUGAGAACACUCAGCACCACACUGUGAACUUAUCGUAGAAUAGAUUUAUUUACCUGAAACCAUGUCUGUGCAAUGCUUGUUGCUAUACCAGCACAGAAAUAAACAACUGAUCUCUAUUUACAGUCUAAAGUCAAACAUGCGUUGUGAUAAAUUGACGUUUAGCAUUUUAUUAAGAUAAAUGCAUCACAAUAUCCGUAUUGCACCAACAUCUGUCUACUGCUUCUGAUUUCAUUAAAUAAGUUACAUUUAAUACAGUGCAAAAUAGCUGUUUGCACACUCAAAAAAAAUAACUGAAGUUAUGAACUGGAGGCCUACGUUUUAACCUUUCAACACCUGCAGUGUUUUCAAUAAAUUUAUAAAUAAGCAAACUGUACAGAGCCAAUUAAAAAGUAGCAUGUUUAAAUGACACCAUAGAGAAAUCUAGCUACUUACAACUGAAGGCAUGCAUUACAGUUGAAUAUUGUACAUUUAUAUAAGCUAUGACAUUUUGCACAGAGAAAUAUGGAGACUUGGCUGAUGGCUUCUAAGUUCUUAGAUAAGGUUUCAAAACCUCAGUCUUCUUGCAGCAAAGAAACCAAAGUUCGCUGGAGAGGCUUUCUGAUUCAUUAAGCUAAAUUGUACAUUUGUAAUUAUUAUUUUGAUUUAAAAGCUAAACCCGUUGGUAAUACACGUUUCCUCCACAUAACACACAAUGAGUUGGGGACUUUUUUCUACUUUUCUUUUUCCCCCAACAUCAAUCAUGCAGAGGGCUGGUAGAUGUGUUGCUAAAAACGCACAUGCACGCAACCGAACACCCUUAUAUUUCUGCAAAAUGGUUUAGGAAGCGGUUACUCCAGUAUUGCUGAAAAGGAAAGAGAGAGGAAAUCAGCUUUAUGAAAUAUGGGGAGGAAAUGUUAGAAUAACCAUUUAAGAUUAAUAGUGACAAGGAAUGGUGAAAAGGAAUGUUCAGUUUGAUUUUUUUAAGAUUUCAGGACCAGCAUUUCUGAUUAACUGUCCCUGAGGUGCUGCCUACAUCAGGCAGCAGCCAGAAGCACUGGCUUGGUACAAACCCUUCAUGUCGCCUGGCUACAGAGCAAAGGCCACCCUGGCUCAUGGAAGAACCCCACCAGGCAGACACAUUCUUGCUUCAGACACGGAAGGGCAAUAGGCAAGAGGGGAAAGAGUUCUCGGUUAGCAGUGUGGACGGUAAGGAGAGUGACACACAGGCGAGCAGUGCGGCUGAGUGCGAAGCCUCUACCUCCCCUUCCUCCCCACCCCAUUCCUGUGGCUGGCUGAGUGGUGGUGGCUUUGACAAAAUUGGUGGUUAUGUUAAAAAGGCAACAGCUGAUUUGGCCGACUUAGCCCAUGGGCGCUGCAGACCCCUCUGGCUCUAGGCAGUGGGGAGCCCCUUUACAGACCCCGAGCUAAUGCCUGUGGUCUCAUAUUCCAGAAGGUCUGCCGCCUAAAGGACAUUCAGGGAGCUGAGGCCCCUGUCUGAGGGUGAUGUGAUAGCAGCUGCUUGCAGGGAGGCUGGCACUCGCCCUGCUUGUCUGUGAGCUCACGCAGCUCUCUAUAGAAAGUAUCACCUGCACUGUGCAGAUGAGUGCCUGGAGGAUGUGUGACGUCGCCAUCUUUUAGGCAAAGGCCUAACCAAGAAGCCGUGCAAGGCCUACCUGCCCAUCGGUGAGAACACGAACAAGUUCUGGUAGGUCUGAAAAGGACACCAGUACUGAUGGCGGCAAAAGCAGAGGCCGCCUGGGAAUUUCCUGCAGGUGCUGGGUGAGGAUGGGUCUGGUCUGGGCACCUGCCCCUCACUGUGGGAGGCCCGAGGCCCUGGAUGCGUCCACAACAGUACAACUGCUGAGGAGGCGCUGAUGUGGCAAAGCCUGAAGCAGAGGGCACAAGGGGAUGCUCCUAGCUGCCUGGGCUGAGGGAAGUGGGUGCUGAAACUGCCUCCAGGCUGGAUGGGCCUGAAGCUGAGAAACCACAAGGCAACAGCCUGCCCAGGCUGAUCUGGAGCUGUGCAUUUCUCCGACAGCAGCAAACAACAUUUAACUUCUUUUGUAAAGGCUACUACUUCGAGGAACCAAGUCAGGAAAAGCUGACUAUUGGGUAAGUUUGGUUUCCAUUGAAUAGCACACCACCCAACAAGCUCAGACAUCCUGUUCUGGUUUGCAGCCAAGGCACACUCCUUGCAUUUGGUCCUUUUUAGGCCUCAUGAUGCCGAAACUGGCAAAACCCAUCCUCUUCCCUGUUGCACGCUCUGCCAAACCGACCAACCUCCCUUUCUCAGAGACCUCAUGCAGUUAGGAUGGGACUUCUGUCCCCUUACACUCGGACCUUGCAAGUUGGCAGUACCCUGCCCCGCUUGAUGAUUCCCACCAACUCUCCCCCAAACUGGAAGCCUUUACAUCACAUCUUUUGGCUAGUCCCAGAUCUGGGCCUUCAGAGCCUUCACAGGAACACUCAGGGCCUCAUGGGGAGGGAGCUCCUGCUUAGGCCUCCUUCGCCCUGGCUCACGGACAAGGCUGGUUGCUAGCAGAGCCAUGCCCUAAAAUAACUCUGCUUUAACGUACCCUGGAGAGAGAGAAGACAAGUCCCAGCUGCAAAGGAUAGGACCCAGAAGGUGAAAAGAGGUGGCCUACUUGAGACCAACCUAUUGGAUACACGAACUGACUGGUUCAACUAUUUGCUUUCACUAGAUUUUUGCUUUUUAAUGAACCAGGUAGCAAGGUUCUUGGAUGAAUCCUUGCAGCUAGCAAAGACCAAAGAACCACAAGUUUUUGAGAGUCCUCAUCUUGGCAUUAGCAAAGGCAGCAUUCUCUCAGCCUGUAAGUUGGACCAAAGCAAAACGAGCUUCUCUCUCCCCAGGCUCUCCCUGACAUCCAGCUGUGCCACUGACCAAGGCAGCGCAUGGAGCCUACAGAUGUCACACCUCGCGUCAGCUAACCCAGCCCCCGUGUGCACAGGUACCACGCAUCGUACACUUGCUGCACUCAGAGACUGUCACAGAGCACAGCAGUGCAUGACACAAGGGGCUUUUUCAUGUCACACAGCUAGCUCACUCCGUGGCAGUCACCUUUAGGCUAAAGCAUCUGGAUUCCAGGGAAUACUCACGUUAGUUGAUGAUGUUGGAAGGCAUUGGAGGAAAACACCAUAGUUAGGACAGUUAAUGGCUUACACACUGUUGGUAAGACUGAUCUCGAACAUGCGCAAACAUUUAUCAUAGUAACAUGGUGUUGGUUAGUGCCACAUUCAAAUAAAAAUAGUUCUAUACAAUA